GUCUCUGUAGCGCAAUGGAUAGCGUGUUGGACUUCUAAUCGAAAGACCAUGGGUUCGAAUCCCAUCUGGAGUG